CCUACGGGUGGCAGCAGUCGAGAAUUUUUCUCAAUGGGGGAAACCCUGAAGGAGCGACGCCGCGUGGAGGAUGAAGGUCUUCGGAUUGUAAACUCCUGUCAUUGGGGAACAAUGCGCAAAUAUUAACUGUAUUUGCGUUGAUAGUACCCGAAGAGGAAGAGACGGCUAACUCUGUGCCAGCAGCCGCGGUAAUACAGAGGUCUCAAGCGUUGUUCGGAUUCAUUGGGCGUAAAGGGUGCGUAGGCGGCUCGGUAAGUCCGCUGUGAAAGUCCAGGGCUCAACCCUGGAAUGCCGGUGGAAACUGUCGAGCUAGAGUCCGGAAGAGGCGAGUGGAAUUCCUGGUGUAGCGGUGAAAUGCGCAGAUAUCAGGAGGAACACCAAUGGCGAAGGCAGCUCGCUGGGACGGUACUGACGCUGAGACGCGAAAGCGUGGGGAGCAA
rnacentral:rRNA from 1 species